UACGUAGGUGGCAAGCGUUGUCCGGAAUCAUUGGGCGUAAAGGGCGCGCAGGCGGUUCGGUAAGUCGGUCUUAAAAGUGCGGGGCUUAACCCCGUGAUGGGAUUGAAACUGCCGGACUGGAGUGUCGGAGAGGAAAGCAGAAUUCCUAGUGUAGCGGUGAAAUGCGUAGAUAUUAGGAGGAAUACCAGUGGCGAAAGCGGCUUUCUGGACGACAACUGACGCUGAGGCGCGAAAGCCAGGGGAGCAAACGGGAUUAGAUACCCCGGUAGUCCUGGCCGUAAACGAUGGAUACUAGGUGUAGGAGGUAUCGACCCCUUCUGUGCCGGAGUUAACGCAAUAAGUAUCCCGCCUGGGGAGUACGGCCGCAAGGUUAAA
rnacentral:rRNA from 1 species